rnacentral:rRNA from 1 species
AUUGAACGCUGGCGGCAGGCUUAACACAUGCAAGUCGAGCGGGGAAGGGUAGCUUGCUACCUAACCUAGCGGCGGACGGGUGAGUAAUGCUUAGGAAUCUGCCUAUUAGUGGGGGACAACAUUCCGAAAGGAAUGCUAAUACCGCAUACGCCCUACGGGGGAAAGCAGGGGAUCUUCGGACCUUGCGCUAAUAGAUGAGCCUAAGUCAGAUUAGCUAGUUGGUGGGGUAAAGGCCACCAAGGCGACGAUCUGUAGCGGGUCUGAGAGGAUGAUCCGCCACACUGGGACUGAGACACGGCCCAGACUCCUACGGGAGGCAGCAGUGGGGAAUAUUGGACAAUGGGCGCAAGCCUGAUCCAGCCAUGCCGCGUGUGUGAAGAAGGCCUUUUGGUUGUAAAGCACUUUAAGCGAGGAGGAGGCUACUUGGAUUAAUACUCUAGGAUAGUGGACGUUACUCGCAGAAUAAGCACCGGCUAACUCUGUGCCAGCAGCCGCCGUAAAAC